rnacentral:lncRNA from 1 species
CAGGCAGGCACUGCCUCCUGAAGAGCUUUCUCUCACACACACCCCAGGUUGAAGAGCUGCAUUUCUCAUAUUGCCUCUGGAAGGAGCUGUGGAAGGAUUUGUAGCUUGUGGAAGAUCUCCAUCUGCUUGUUUUGAUGGUGGUACAGAAUUGAGAGGUGAGUCCCCCUCCCCCAGGAAGCUGGUGCUGCUGUUACCGCUGUUGACCAGUGCUUCCUCAAUGUUGAAGAUUAACACCAGAGAAGCACAUCGAGGCAAAGUCAGAGUGGAAAAUUCGAAGUUUAUUAAAGGACAGCAGAAAAGACUUCUCCCAGAGGAAGAAGGGGACCCAAGGGGUGGAAUCCGUUGAAGGGUGAAUGUGUUCCCCUUUUUAUAGUUUUUGGUGAUGGAAUGCAGCUGGGAAGGCCGGAAGCGAAGCGUUGGGACACAGGUGGGCCAAAGAAGUAAUCUGGGCACUUUAAGUCAAGUUUGCUGUUCAUUAACAUUUCUUUGGGAUGGGCUAUCUUCAAAUCUGUCGGGGGCUGUUUCCUGGGCUUCAUUAACAUUCCGAGAGUUGCUCAACUUUUCCGGAAAUUCAUUCUCAACAUGGCCUCCAUUUCAGAUUUCACUCGAUAUUAGACCCCAUUUACCUAACUAGACUGACGACCUAAUUUUAAAUCUGGCUUCACUGCCACCCAGGAGACAAAGAGUUAAGUUCCGAGGUUGGGGAGGGGUGUGGGAGAAUGGGAGACCCCGAGAAUAAGUUCAGACGUGCAGAAAGGAUUUCAAGAGGCGAAAAUGUAACCUGCACUAGUCCCCACGUGUUCCACAGCAUCCGUGCAAAGGCAUUGUGCUUGUUUCUUUCAUAAACGGUUUUGUUUCUUUCCCUUGAACGGUAACUGAAUCAUUUCUGUUUCACGAGUGACAACGGGAUGCGAAGAGGGAGUUCCCAGCUCCAGGACACACAGGUAGCGAUGGACAGAGAUGGAAGCCGCCAACACCAAGGCCUGCAUCCAACGAGCCUGGUCUUCGGUUCCCGCCUUCGGAGCCCAUGUCCUCCCGCACCUCCUCUCGCCCUGCGCAGGGCGGCCCUUCUGGCCGCGCCCUGCCUCUCCAGGUCCUCCCCGCUACCGCGCCGUGCUCACGCGUCCUCGCGUGGCCUCCCGCCCGGUCCCUUCUACGUGCCGCCGACCUGCCGACCUCCCCCGCUUAUGACAUCUGCUCCCCUCCGAGCUCUGGGGUUUGGGAGCGGUCGGCCCCCUGCGCCCCUCAGACCCGUUAUCGGGGCCGCCCGACAGAAAGGAGCCGGUGAGGGCGGGGCCCAACCUUCUGCGGAGGAAACGGCGAGCGUUUGGGCCCUUGGCCCCGUGCUGCGGCGGGAAACCGGCGGCGCAGAGGACGCACCGCUGUGCCUGGCGCUGCACCUCCACUCCCCAGUGGCGUCUCAGUGAUGGCUGCCAGAGGCGUCUCCUGCCUGUCCCUUCGCGCCUGGGCCGGGAAGCCUCCCUCCCUCCCACAGACCGGGGAAAUGAGGCCCCUGAGGGCCCGGCUUGGCAUCCGGACGGCCAUUGUCAGGGGAGAGCUGCGCCUUCCCGCCCCGGGGCCUUCGAGGAAGGCGCACCGGCCUCCUGCGGCCGCACCCUGAGCCCGCUCUGCCUCCCUCCGGGGCCCACGCCCGGUGGCCUCUCGGCCACAGAGGCAGGGCCUUCCCUUGUCAGCGCUGAGGAACAGACUCCGUGGGGACCUGCUGCUCUCCCGCCUCCGUCCUCGCCGCCCGCCCUCGCUCCGCGCCUUCCCUUCAAGGCCUGAGGGCUCUCGGCCCCCUGAGCCCGAGCCCGGUCCUGGGCGCUCGGUUCUUGGCCUCGGCGCCCUCCUGUCUGAGGACAGGCGCAGAGUUAGGACGGGGGCAGCGCCGGCCACAGGGCCCUGCGCUGGGUGCAGCCCGAGCCCGGCCUGCCCUGGCGCACGCCUGUGGUCCCAGUGGCCCAGGACGCUGAGGCAGGAGGGUCGCCUGCAGAGCCAGCCCGUGCAAGGGCAGGCGCUCGGCAACCGUGAGGCCCUGCAGGUAAAUAAAACAGCAAGUAGGGCUGGGCUCAGAGGCCCAGGCCCGCGAGUUCCAUCCCCGGUACCCCAAACAACCCCCUGAGCCCGCUAAUUCAUACAUGAGAGAACCUUGAUCAGGAUGUCCCCCAACUUGACGGCAGUGCCGAAACUACAAGUUAUGAGCCUGAGAUAAGAAUUUUACUACAUUAUCCAAAAUAAAUGUGUGUGUAUAGAAUAAAUUUAAAACAAAACAUUUUAAAACAUUUAAAAAAUAAAUAAAUAAAACAUACCCGUAGACAGUGAUAGGGAUAGAACCCAGAAUUUCAUGCACAGGGGGGCUGGGGUUGUGGCUCAGAGGUAGAGCGCUCGCCUCGUAUGUGCAAGGCUCUGGGUUCGAUCCUCAGCACCACAUGAAAAUAAAAGUUAUUAUGUACAACUACAAAAAAAUAUUAAGAAAAAUUUGAGUUUUGUGGGCUGGGUUUGUACCUCAGUGGUAGAGCGCUUGCCUUGCAUGUGUGAGACCCCGAGUUUGAUUCCCAGUGUAAGGGUCCCGCGAAACGUCGGAGAAAGAGACCACCAAGUGACCACUCAUGCAAUUGGCAGAAGGGGAUUUAUUGAACCAGCAUGCUGGGGCUCUGUGCCCACUCAAGAAGGGAGAGCAGCCCAGAGCCCUGAGCAGGGGCUGAGCACUGCUUAAGUACACUUUUUGGGGAGGGCGGGGGUUUUACAUACAUCACAGUCUCCUUUAACAAAUCAUUAUACACCGCGGGAAAAUCAAACAACAACUCCUAAACAUGACUAGUUCAUUCAUUGGCGGGAACAGGUCAGGCUGGAGUGAUAGGUCAUUUCUAAACGGGGCACACAUUCAAACUGAUUGGUUUUAGGGCCUAAAGGACUACGUGACCAGUUACACAGAGUCCCUAGUUAUUGGACAACCAGGGAGUCAGUGGGAAUAUUUACUGGGCAAUUCCAGUAUUGUCCUAACAGCUACAGGGAUUUCAGGUUUUGCAGGUAACAUAGAAACCUAACAAUACCUAAUCCUUUACAUUUUAACUCAGACCUUGCAGCUUAGAAACUUUACAACACCCGGUCUUUUACCCUUUAACUUUUACGCUUUAACUUCAAUUUCUUUUACCCUUACACCAGCACCACAAAAAAUAAAUAAAUAAAAAUAAAGAUAUUGUGUCCAUCUACAAAUAAAAAAAAAAUUGGGGUUUGCGUAUGAUAAUUAUUGUCCUUUAAUCAAUUGGGAUUUCUUUUCUCAUACUGAAUGCUCAUGGGUAUGUGUUGUUUUGUACUUUUUCUUAAUCUAUCUCUUCAUUCCUGUCUUUCAGGGGCAGUCAGGUUUUGCUGACUGACUGGUUUUCAGUGAGCUCCUUCCCUGUGCUGGGCCUCAUUUCCCCGAUCUGUGUAACUGGGUUUUCUUGCUCUCCUGUCUGUCCCUAGAAAUGUCAGAAUGAAAGUUGAGAGACAAGAUAUUCCUUUGUGGUAAGCAAACCCUGAUCUGCCUCUGGUGCCCACAAUAAACCUCAGUUAGCCUCAUUGACAGGCCACUCAGAGACCCAAACAGGAAGGCCUGAGGGUGACCUCCUGGAGGCUUACUACUGGCUCAGGCCUUGAGGCUGCCAUCAUCACAGGCUACUGAUUCCCGCAUCUGUUCUCUUCACAGUCAGUGCACUUAUGUCUUUUUCAC